ensembl:lncRNA
AUUUUAUAUUUUACUACGCAUUUACUAUUUUCCUGCUUCAUUGUGUUCUAAUAAUGUGCACCUUAAAUGCUGCCUAGUUAGGCACCUCAGUAGGGUUUGAGACGCAGCCAAUGUUUUUAACGUUUACAAAUGUUUCAAAAUCUCAUCAACAGAGUGUCUGCUCACAUCUGAACGAGCACAACCAACGCAAGCGUCACAGAUCUCAGGAAUGUCUUGUAAACCGCGCGACCACCCUCUUGUUGCAGGAAAGACAAAGCGCGUGCUGCGAGAGGACAGCCGAACAAAACAGCAUUCUCCGCAUCUAAACAAAGACUGCAGAGGGAAAAGAGUGCAGCCAGAGCGCGCCCAGAGAGGAGAGAGAGGAGAGGAUGUGCUGUCUGCCGGUGGAGCAGACUUUAGGCGCACUCGGAGAUUCCGUUUGCGCGCACCGACUGCGCUGGAUCGGAGACCAGCUGGAGAAGAGAUGGGCUGCAAACGACAAAAGCUCCGACGGUGGAAGACGAAGCGGCGGGGAAAGCAUCAUCAAAAGCUUCCACAUAGUGUGCACAGUCAUUCAAGUAACGCUUCUGGUGUUUUUAGUCAAAAAGCGACACCUGUAGGUGAGACGAGGCUCUGCUGAUCUACAGCGGCAACAGAUGAAUCUUCAGAUUCUCCUGGGAUGAUCCGCUCCAGAUUUACCAGAGAGGAGAAGGUGCCGGUCACGUCUGCACGCUGUAGAAACUUGCCAUGCAAACAGUGGGUCGAUGUUUUCUCAUCCAUGUAGGUCACAACAUUUGCAGUAGUGUUGUAACGGAAACACGCACACACCAGACGCAUCCGUGCUGUACAUUCCAAGCAUGCUGAUCACUUUUCAUAACGACCAAUGCUUCAUCCCGAGGUCUUCUCGAUCACCGAAACACCGCGAGCCGAUGUCAUUCGGUACACGUUUGCUUGGUUAGAAGUCUUAAGGUCAGUGCAGUCAAACCCAGCAGUGUGUCUCCUGGGAAACCUUUCAAAAUAAAAGGCUGAUGUCAUUGUCCCCUGGCGUUUGC